rnacentral:tRNA from 1 species
CGCGGGGUAGCGCAGUGGCCGUCGCGCGGGCCCUCCAAGGCCUGAGGAGGCCGGUUCGAAUCCGGUCCCCGCAACCA